rnacentral:rRNA from 1 species
CAGCCGCGGUAAUUCCAGCUCAAUAGCGUAUAUUAAGUUGUUGCAGUUAAAAGCUCGUAGUUGAAUUUCGGGGUUAGUAGGUUGGUCAUGCCUCUGGUAUGUACUGGUCUCACUGAUUCCUCCUUCCUGAUGAACUGUAAUGCCAUUAAUUUGGUGUUGCGGGAAUUUGGACUGUUACUUUGAAAAAAUUAGAGUGUUUAAAGCAAGCUAACGCUUGAAUACAUUAGCAUGGAAUAAUGAAAUAGGACGUUCGAUCCUAUUUUGUUGGUUUCUAGGAUUGACGUAAUGAUUAAUAGGGAUAGUUGGGGGCAUUAGUAUUCAAUUGUCAGAGGUGAAAUUCUUGGAUUUAUUGAAGACUAACUACUGCGAAAGCAUUUGCCAAGGAUGUUUUCAUUAAUCAAGAACGAAAGUUAGGGGGAUCGAAGACGAUCAGAUACCGUCGUAGUCUUAACCAUAAACUAUGCCGACUAGGGAUCGGAUGAUGUUAAUUUUUUAAUGACUCAUUCGGCGCCUUACG